CUUAGAACAAAUCUAAGGCGAAACCUGCCCAGUGACCUAAAACAAAACUUAAAUGUUUUUAAAAAAGUUAAAAGGACGCAGUAACCUGACUGUGAUAAUGUAGCGUAAUCAUUCGCCAUUUAAUUGGUGGAUAGUAUGAAUGGUUUAACGAGUUCUCCACUUUCUAAAGAAGAGAAAAUCUGAAAUUUGAAUAGUAGUCAAGAUACUACUUAAAAUUGUAAGACGAAAAGACCCUAUAGAGCUUAACUAUACCACUUCUUGUAUUUUGAGAAGGGGGGUUAGUUUAGUUGGGGCGACUGCCUUUUAAAAAAAACAAAGGCAAACAAAGUUAAUAAAAAAACUUACUGUAAAAUUAAUAAAUUUAACAGUUACUAAUGUAGGUAAUAAAGACCCGUUAUAAUUUAAGCAAAAAAGAUAACGAUCAAUAAAUAAAAGCUACCUUAGGGAUAACAGGAUAAUUUUGUUAUAGAGACCUUAUCGAAAACAAAGUUUGUCACCUCUAUGUUGAAUUAAGAUACCCAGACAGAGCAGCAUCUGUCAAAGGUAGGUCUGUUCGACCUUUAAAAU
rnacentral:rRNA from 1 species